rnacentral:lncRNA from 1 species
UGUGUGUGUGUGUGUGUGUGUGUGUGUGUGUGUGUGUGUGUGUGUGUGUGUGUGUGUGUGUGUGUAUAGUUUGAAGCCUUAUUCAUUCUUCUUCACUUAUUUGGGACUUAACAGGAAUGAUGAUCUGUUGUUACUGGCUUUACAUCCCACCUUCUAGACCGUUCUACACCACCAUUUUCAGAACUAAUCCCUUUUGAUGCAGAAUGUAGCUCAGGUUUAAAAAAACAAACAUUUUAGUCUCCUGCUUAGCAAAUCUGAUGAGGUCCCCCCAAAAAAAAGAGGUCAUUUUUAUUUAUUUUUUAAAUCGGUUACUUUGCCAGCAAAAACAUAUUGUAAUCAGAUUACAGAGGAUUACUUCUUGGAUUACUUUUACAUUCAGAAAGAAUGUUUGCGGAAAAAACUAAAUAAGCAUUAUGACCAAGCGAUAAUGUGAUCACUGGAAAUAUAACCGCUUUGAGUUAGAGUUUUAACAACGGCCAAGUAGGCUACUGUUGCUCUUAGAUCAUAAUGUAGGACCUACCAGAGUAGCCUACCAUCAAAAACAAUCACCAUAAUAUCUUAACAUGGAAACAGCUGUUCAGCCUACAGCAGCAACCAAUGUGUGGUGUUCCAUGUAGAACUCACAUCUGACGGUUUAUCAGAGUGUUGACUACAAAAUGUUCACUACAAAGUGUUGACUACAAAGUGUUGACUACAAAGUGUUGACUACAAAAUGUUGACUACAAAGUGUUCACUACAAAAUGUUGACUACAAAGUGUUCACUACAAAGUGUUGACAGUUGACAGCAUCUCUUUGCUGUAUUCGUUGACAGUCUCUCUAGUCGUGGUUUUAAAACGUUUUACAUCUCACAGUAUCCACUGUAGCUUUCUCUUAUGCUGCUACAUUACUGAAGACACGGUCAUCUGAGCCAUCUGAUUGGCCAGCGGUAGACCUAUAGUCCACUUGAUUUGCUCUCUGGGUCCACCAGGAAGGAAGAGUUUGUACCUUCAGACACAUGAAUAGGAACACAAGGCUUAAUCGUUGUGUUUUUACAGAAAUGUUUGGUGAUCGACUAGGAAUGCCUUGAAUAUAUUUUUAUUUAUUUAACAAGGCAAGUCAGUUAAGAACAAAUUCUUAUUUACAAUGACAGCCUACCGGGGAACAGUGGGUUAACUGCCUUGUUCAGGGACAGAACGACAGAUUAUUACCUUGUCAGCUCGGGGAUUUGUUCGAUCACGAUCCCCGAGUCUGACCACAAGUCAGAGACCACUAUGAUGACACACCAAAUAAUGACCACCAAUCAGAGAUCACUAUGAUGACACACCAAAUAAUGACCACCAAUCAGAGAUCACUAUGAUGACACACCAAAUAAUGACCACCAAUCAGAGAUCACUAUGAUGACACACCAAAUAAUGACCACCAAUCAGAGAUCACUAUGAUAAGCACAACCAAAUGAUGACCACCAAUCAGAGAUCACCAAAUGAGUUUAAUAGUUCCUUUCUGUCUUCUUCUAAUCCAAAUGUAACAGAAAGUAAUCUGAUUACUUUACUGAGUUUUGGGUAAUCCAAAAAGUAACUUUUCUAAUUACAAUUUUUGGGCAGGUAACUAGUAACUGUAAUAGAUUACAUUUCUAAAGUAACCUACCCAACCCUGUGUAUAAAUGUUAUUCCUCUGAUGUCAAGGCCCACAACACUCACUAAGGUCACUUCAGGUUUUCCUUCAUUUUGCUCUUUUUCAGUGAAGCUGUAAGAGAACCUCCCAUCUGUGUGUUUUUAAGUUGUAAUAUUAUUAUACUUGUUUCUCAUAUUAUUCAUUUUACGGUAUUUUGGUUGCCUGGUUUUUGAUCCGUACUGAUAUCUGUAGUGCAUUUUUUUUCUUUCUCUCUCUCUCUCUCUCUUUAAAAGGUGAACUGGUUGUCUGUCACUCUGCUUUUCAUAACAACAGGUGUUUGAGUCUUCAGAAAGCCCUGAGAAUGUGUGUCUGAAAUAACACCUUAUUCCCUAUAUAAUGCACUACUUUUGUACAGAACCACAAGAGUCCCCCCUUGGCAUUGACCUCGACCCAAAGUUUUUAGGGUGCAUCAAAAGUAGUGCCCGGUAUAGGGAAUAGGGCACAAUAAUACUGUUGUGUCUGAGGGGCUGGUUCAGACCGUGAACCUCAUAUAAACUACCAUACUGGUUAUUGAUACUGCGCUGCAUGUAACACCCGGGACCAGAGCUAGUCUCCGCUGAGCUGCCUUGGUCGUCGUCUUCAUCAUACUCCUCCUUCUGUGGAUUGACUCUCUCAUGUCUAAAAGCUAUGAUGUUUAAAAAAAGAAACAUUUUCAUUUGUGAACAGGAAAGAAGCCCGGGCUGACUGUAAAUCUUCUGUAUCAUCAUGAAAGCUGAUAAUUCUAGAAUGUCUGAAUGUUCUAGAAUGGAAUAGGGUUCCAUUUGGGAAGCGUCCACAGUCAUGCCUUAAACUCAGGCAGCAUAGUUCAGCCAUGAUGACAGACUUUUCUUUUCAAUUGUGACUAACAUUUUACUUUUACAUUAUCAAAACGUUUUUAUACUGAAGAGUCACAAACAACAGAAACAAACAGGACCAAAGUUGAUGUGCCUUUCAUUGAUCUGUUAUUCAUCACUAUUGUUUAGAUUAAAGACCGUCAUUGCUGAAGACGAGGUCAUUGGCUCUCUCAAAACGGGUAAAGUUAUUGAUAUACAUUUCAGUCAAAAUAUAAUUUACAACAUUUUGACAGGAAUCCAUAUUAUUAAGGGAGCCCAUUCCUAGCCUGGUUAAGCCAGACUGAAACAGUGAAACGUAAUGAAACAUAAUGAAAUCAGGUUGGAUUCCAGGCUAGCCCAUUGAUUCCCACAGACUCACGUAAUAAAACGCAAAAAAAAAACUAAACAAAUGUACCUUUAGCUUUACUUUGAGUUGUACAAGAAGACAACACAUGAACUGAAACCAAAGGAACUGAAUCCUCUAUUACAACAACCAAUCAUAGUGUAGCGACUCUCACUGGACCAGGGUUCGAUUCCUGGCCGGGGCUACUGGACCAGGGUUCGAUUCCUGGCCGGGGCUACUGGACCAGGGUUCGAUUCCUGGCCUGGGCUACUGGACCAGGGUUCGAUUCCUGGCCGGGGCUACUGGACCAGGGUUCGAUUCCUGGCCGGGGCUACUGGACCAGGGUUCGAUUCCUGGCCUGGGCUACUGGACCAGGGUUAGAUUCGAUUCCUGGCUGGGGCUACUGGACCAGGGUUCGAUUCCUGGCCGGGGCAACCCCCCCCCCCCCUUUAAUAGUGACUUUUCCUUUCAAUAUCACUGAAUUAUAUGGGAGACAAAUGAUUGACGAAUUUAAAUAGAUUUCCAGUUCCAUGAUUAUUAAAGGGAGAGAUUAUAUAUUUUAAAGAGCCAUGUAGUUGCACAGAGCUCAGUCAGAAGGGUGCGUCCAAAACGGCACCCUUAUCUCUACGUAGUGCACUACUUUUUGACCUGAGCCCUAUGGGCCCUGAACAUAAGUAGUGCACUAUAUAGAGGAUAAGGUGUCAUUUGGGACACUGGAAAAGUGUCUCAUCUGAUUGAAUUUGUUUUUCUUGUCUCGUUAAGGCGCGUCUUGAUAAUAUACCUUAUUUAUAGUUAAUAUUCAAUGUUUCACGACCAAAAUAGACAACAAGAAAGUCUGUAAUCAAACAUGUUCCCUUUUCAAACUUGGCCAAAAUGGUUAAUGGGAACAAGAAAGCUACAAACAAUAACAAUAUCGAGAGAAAUUAAAGGCCCAGUGCACUCAAAAAAACGUGAUUUACCUGUGUUUUAUAUUUCCACACUAUGAGGUUGGAAUAAUACUGUGAAAUUGUGAAAAUGAUAAUAACGCCCUUUUUGGUGUAAGGGGUGUUUGAAAAGACUGCCUAAAAUUCCAGCCUGUUUUGGUGACAUCACCAGGCGGUAAAUGAGUUAAUAGACCAAUAAGAAAGAGUUCCAAACCUCUCUGCCAAUAACAGCUAAUGUUCAGUUUUCCCCUCCCCACUCAGACCACUCCCAGACAGUCCUAUCUAAGUUCUUACUUGAGAUAUUGCUCUUUGCUAAGAAGCUAUUUUAGUUUCUUUUUGAUCAUUUGAAUCACAGUUAGGUCCUUAAUUUUUACCCAGAAAGUGUUUGAUACUGAGAUAAAAAAAAAUAAAAAAAACAGCUGCAUUGGACCUUCAAUUGUUUUUUUUUGUGUUUGUUUUAAAAAAAUAUAUAUUUAAAGAUGAUGAACACAACAUGAAAAAAAACAACUUGUGUAUUUUGAUAUCAUACCAGGUUUGAUUUGUAAAACAGUGUGUGUGACGUCGUGGGGAUGGAAGGUGGGGUGAGAAACAACAGGAUUCCUUAUGAGUUGAUGUCAUUUAAAUGCAAAUAGAAAAUGAAACUAUUAAAGAAACAUAUUUUAAAAUGUUGUGGUGCAUGCAUGGUUGAAUGGAGUUUCUGUAUUUGAUAUAGAAACAUUUUCUUUUAUGUUUUUCGAUUGGUUACUAUGAUUAUUAUAGUUAUUAUUAUAAUGAUUCUCAUUAUUAUUAUUGCAUCAGAAUCUCUUCUUAAUUUUUUCCUAAAGCAACUUUAAUUGUAGCAUGCCUUGAAUAAAUGUCAUGAUCUCUGUACUUUCCUCAGUCCUCCCGUUGUCUUCUUGUCUUCUUGUCUUCUUGCUUUCCUCACACAUUGGCAAUCAAACUAGUCUCCGGGAAGAAUCUCAAUUGCGUUUUCUUGACUCCUCGCAUCCUCUCUCCUCGCUUCCUUCUCAAAACCCAUUGGAUGAGAAGGUCAGAGGGGAGGGACCUAAUGGGUUUUGAGAAGGCGAGGAGAGAGGACGUGAUGAGUCAAGGAAAAGCAAUUGACAUUCUCCCUCAGUGUUCCUUCCUCCUUCCUUUCCUGUCUAACUUCUCUCAACCACUGCAGUGUGACUAACUACCCUUUUACCCAAUCACGCUGCUCGCCCCUCCAAAGCUCCACUUGCCUCUCUGUUCUCUUCCUUGAACAUCUUCCUCUAAAGGCAACACCCCAUACCUUGACUUGACUUAAACCCUUUUGCUCUGAGGGCCGAUUUCUCAGUCCUACAAGAUUAAACCAAGUCCUGGACUAAAAGUAAUUCCACUGAGCAUGCCUAAGAGGU